AGCUCAGUGAUUAAAGCACUUGGCUGCUAAGCAAAUGGUUGGUGGUUCGAACCCACC
rnacentral:tRNA from 1 species